rnacentral:rRNA from 1 species
AACGCUGGCGGCAGGCCUAACACAUGCAAGUCGAAGGAGGAGCCUCUCUUCGGAGAGGUGGAAACUGGCGCACGGGUGAGUAACGCGUGGGAAUCUACCCUGGGGUGGGGAAUAACCGCUGGAAACGGCGGCUAAUACCGCAUACGCCUCGCGAGGGAAAGCUUUUGCGCCCUGGGAUGAGCCCGCGUCGGAUUAGGUUGUUGGUGGGGUAACGGCCUACCAAGCCUUCGAUCCGUAGCUGGUCUGAGAGGAUGAUCAGCCACACUGGGACUGAGACACGGCCCAGACUCCUACGGGAGGCAGCAGUGGGGAAUAUUGGACAAUGGGGGAAACCCUGAUCCAGCCAUGCCGCGUGCGUGAAGAAGGCCUUAGGGUUGUAAAGCGCUUUCGGCGGGGAAGAUGAUGACGGUACCCGCAGAAGAAGCCCCGGCUAACUCCGUGCCAGCAGCCGCGGUAAUACGGAGGGGGUUAGCGUUGAAGCCGAAU